rnacentral:lncRNA from 1 species
UACCAUCACUAUCCAGGCAAUUUAAUUUGUUAGAGAAAGUUCCAAUCUUCUUUAAGAUAUAUCACUGAGGGUUAUGUCAUUUUCUAGGUUUCCUAGAACAGUUUUGUUCCAAAUGUUUCAAGAAAUAACAUAACGUGAAAAAUAAAAUAAAAAACAAAAAUUUAAAAUAAUUAACAAAUCGCCCUCUAAAUGCGGUGGUGGAGGGGGGAGAAUGUGGGGUUGAGAGAAGCCAUAAAUGUGAUGACACAUCGAUUUCAUGAUAAC